rnacentral:piRNA from 1 species
CAGGGCAUCCCUACCGCCUGGAAAUCCUGA